UACGGAGGGAGCAAGCGUUGUCCGGAAUCAUUGGGCGUAAAGUGCGCGGAGGUGGCCUCGUAAGUCCGCUGUGAAAGUCAAAGGCUCAACCUUUGAAAGCCGGUGGAUACUGCGGGGCUAGAGUCCGGAAGAGGCGAGUGGAAUUCCUGGUGUAGCGGUGGAAUGCGCAGAUAUCAGGAGGAACACCAAUAGCGAGGGCAGCUCGCUGGGACGGUACUGACACUGAGGCGCGAAAGCGUGGGGAGCGAACAGG
rnacentral:misc_RNA from 1 species